rnacentral:rRNA from 1 species
AGAGUUUGAUCCUGGCUCAGGAUGAACGCUAGCGACAGGCCUAACACAUGCAAGUCGAGGGGCAGCACGGUGUAGCAAUACACGGGUGGCGACCGGCGCACGGGUGAGUAACGCGUAUGCAACCUGCCUACUACAAGGGGAUAACCCGUUGAAAGACGGACUAAUACCCUAUAACACAGGGAAUCCGCAUGGAUAUAUUUGUUAAAGAUUUAUCGGUAGUAGAUGGGCAUGCGUUCCAUUAGCUUGUUGGUGAGGUAACGGCUCACCAAGGCAACGAUGGAUAGUGGAACUGAGAGGUUGAUCCCCCACACUGGAACUGAGACACGGUCCAGACUCCUACGGGAGGCAGCAGUGGGGAAUAUUGCACAAUGGGCGCGAGCCUGAACCAGCCAAGUCGCGUGAAGGAAGACUGCCCUAUGGGUUGUAAACUUCUUUUGUAAGGGAAUAAAUAGUCUUACGUGCUAAGACGUUGCAGGUACCUUACGAAUAAGGAUCGGCUAACUCCGUGCCAGCAGCCGCGGUAA